rnacentral:rRNA from 1 species
UACGUAGGGUGCGAGCGUUAAUCGGAAUUACUGGGCGUAAAGCGUGCGUAGACGGUUAUGUAAGUCGGGUGUGAAAGCCCCGGGGCUCAACCUGGGAAUGCCAUUCGAGACUGCAUAGCUAGGGUGCGGAAGAGGGAAGCGGAAUUUCCGGUGUAGCGGUGAAAUGCGUAGAUAUCGGAAGGAACACCAGUGGCGAAAGCGGCUUCCUGGUCCAGCACCGACGUUCAGGCACGAAAGCGUGGGGAGCAAACAGG